rfam:Hordeum vulgare subsp. vulgare, WGS project CAJW01000000 data, contig: morex_contig_65396
CCAAAGGUUUUCUUUGGAUUCUAUUAUCAAAAGGACUUCCCAAAACCACAAAUUAAUUAUUUUAAAAUUAGU